rnacentral:rRNA from 1 species
AGAGUUCUUUCCUGGCUCAGGAUGAACGCUGGCGGCGUGCCUAACACAUGCAAGUCGAACGAAGCGCCCGCGCGGAUUCCCUCGGGAUGAAGCGCGGAUGACUGAGUGGCGGACGGGUGAGUCACGCGUGGGCAACCUGCCCCGUGCCGGGGGACAACAGCCGGAAACGGCUGCUAAUACCGCAUGAUCCGGGAGGGCCGCAUGGCCCUGCCGGGAAAGCUCCGGCGGCACGGGAUGGGCCCGCGUCUGAGUAGUUUAUUGGCGGGGUAACGGCCCACCAAGACUGCGAUCAGCAGCCGGCCUGAGAGGGCGGCCGGCCACAUUGGGACUGAGACACGGCCCAGACUCCUGCGGGAGGCAGCAGUGGGGAAUAUUGCACAAUGGGGGAAACCCUGAUGCAGCGACGCCGCGUGGGCGACGAAGCGCUCCGGCGCGUAAAGCCCUGUCAGCAGGGAAGAACAAAGACAGUACCUGACCAAGAAGCCCCGGCUAACUACGUGCCAGCAGCCGCGGUAAUACGUAGGGGGCAAGCGUUAUCCGGAUUCACUGGGCGUAAAGGGAGCGCAGGCGGCACGGCAAGUCUGGUGUGAAAGCCCGGGGCCCAACCCCGGGACUGCAUUGGAAACUGCCGGGCUGGAGUGCCGGAGGGGUAAGCGGAAUUCCUGGUGUAGCGGUGAAAUGCGCAGAUAUCAGGAAGAACACCGGUGGCGUAGGCGGCUUACUGGACGGCAACUGACGCUGAGGCUCGAAAGCGUGGGGAGCAAACAGGAUUAGAUACCCUGGUAGUCCACGCCGUAAACGAUGA